GGGUUGUGAGGUUAAGCGACUAAGCGUACACGGUGGAUGCCCUGGCAGUCAGAGGCGAUGAAGGACGUGCUAAUCUGCGAUAAGCGUCGGUAAGGUGAUAUGAACCGUUAUAACCGGCGAUUUCCGAAUGGGGAAACCCAGUGUGUUUCGACACACUAUCAUUAACUGAAUCCAUAGGUUAAUGAGGCGAACCGGGGGAACUGAAACAUCUAAGUACCCCGAGGAAAAGAAAUCAACCGAGAUUCCCCCAGUAGCGGCGAGCGAACGGGGAGCAGCCCAGAGCCUGAAUCAGUGUGUGUGUUAGUGGAAGCGUCUGGAAAGGCGCGCGAUACAGGGUGACAGCCCCGUACACAAAAAUGCACAUACUGUGAGCUCGAUGAGUAGGGCGGGACACGUGGUAUCCUGUCUGAAUAUGGGGGGACCAUCCUCCAAGGCUAAAUACUCCUGACUGACCGAUAGUGAACCAGUACCGUGAGGGAAAGGCGAAAAGAACCCCGGCGAGGGGAGUGAAAAAGAACCUGAAACCGUGUACGUACAAGCAGUGGGAGCACGCUUCGGCGUGUGACUGCGUACCUUUUGUAUAAUGGGUCAGCGACUUAUAUUCUGUAGCAAGGUUAACCGAAUAGGGGAGCCGAAGGGAAACCGAGUCUUAACUGGGCGUUAAGUUGCAGGGUAUAGACCCGAAACCCGGUGAUCUAGCCAUGGGCAGGUUGAAGGUUGGGUAACACUAACUGGAGGACCGAACCGACUAAUGUUGAAAAAUUAGCGGAUGACUUGUGGCUGGGGGUGAAAGGCCAAUCAAACCGGGAGAUAGCUGGUUCUCCCCGAAAGCUAUUUAGGUAGCGCCUCGUGAAUUCAUCUCCGGGGGUAGAGCACUGUUUCGGCAAGGGGGUCAUCCCGACUUACCAACCCGAUGCAAACUGCGAAUACCGGAGAAUGUUAUCACGGGAGACACACGGCGGGUGCUAACGUCCGUCGUGAAGAGGGAAACAACCCAGACCGCCAGCUAAGGUCCCAAAGUCAUGGUUAAGUGGGAAACGAUGUGGGAAGGCCCAGACAGCCAGGAUGUUGGCUUAGAAGCAGCCAUCAUUUAAAGAAAGCGUAAUAGCUCACUGGUCGAGUCGGCCUGCGCGGAAGAUGUAACGGGGCUAAACCAUG
rnacentral:rRNA from 1 species